ACAGCAGCAGCCACGGUAAUACGGGGGGUGCAAGCGUUAAUCGGAAUUACUGGGCGUAAAGCGUGCGUAGGCGGUUUGUUAAGUCUGUUGUGAAAUCCCCGGGCUCAACCUGGGAACUGCAUUUGUGACUGGCAAGCUAGAGUGUGGCAGAGGGGGGUGGAAUUCCGCGUGUAGCAGUGAAAUGCGUAGAUAUGCGGAGGAACACCGAUGGCGAAGGCAGCCCCCUGGGCCAACACUGACGCUCAUGCACGAAAGCGUGGGGAGCAAACAGGAUUAGAGACCCCUGUAGUCCCUGUCUCUUAUAC
rnacentral:rRNA from 1 species